rnacentral:rRNA from 1 species
UGGGGAAUUUUGGACAAUGGGCGCAAGCCUGAUCCAGCCAUGCCGCGUGAGUGAAGAAGGCCUUCGGGUUGUAAAGCUCUUUCGGACGGGAAGAAAUGGCAGGCUCUAACAUAGCCUGUCGAUGACGGUACCGUAAGAAGAAGCACCGGCUAACUACGUGCCAGCAGCCGCGGUAAUACGUAGGGUGCGAGCGUUAAUCGGAAUUACUGGGCGUAAAGCGUGCGCAGGCGGUUUUGUAAGACAGAUGUGAAAUCCCCGGGCUUAACCUGGGAACUGCGUUUGUGACUGCAAGGCUGGAGUACGGCAGAGGGGGGUGGAAUUCCACGUGUAGCAGUGAAAUGCGUAGAGAUGUGGAGGAACACCGAUGGCGAAGGCAACCCCCUGGGCCUGUACUGACGCUCAUGCACGAAAGCGUGGGGAGCAAACA